UCCCUGAUGGUCUAGUGGUUAGGAUUCGGCACUUUCACUGUCGCAGCCCAGGUUCAAGCCCUGGUCAGGGAA
rnacentral:tRNA from 2 species